rnacentral:lncRNA from 1 species
GUCAACCGGCAGCAUAAUGGUGUACUUCCUCCAUUGGCGUUACCCCUGCCAAAUGAGUUGAAGGAGUCAUUUGCAUCAUUUUGCCGGUCUAUAAGAAAAUGAGACGGCAUGAUGAAUUUUGUAAAGUUGAAUCGCUGUCAUGAAAUUUGAACUAAACUGUUCUAUGUAGCAGAGCUGAAUUUAAGGCUUCUUUUUUAUGCUAUUACCACUACAAUGAUUUAGAUGCUUAGUGUGAAUAGGCAAAGUUAUAACAAGCAAAGCAACAUUAGAUGCCCAAAAUGCAAUUGGGAUAUUCGCAAUUGUUGGCGGCUCCUUCGCUCCAACAAUUGCUCCGCUACUCUCACAUUUGGUGGGCACUGUUCAUCACGCCAUUUUUAUUUUUAAUUUUUUAUGAUUAUUUUAUGCUUUUAGUAUGAAUAUAAUUUCUUUGACUUAUCUUGAUUCAUUUAAUUUUCAAAUAUAAUGAUGAUAUUAAAAUGUUAUUAUCAAAUUAUAUUUAGUUUCACUUAUAUAAUAUGUAAUAAUAUAAUAUACUUAAAUACUUUAUAUAGUAUAAAUUUCAAAAUUCAAUCAUACAAAUACAAUAUUUUCUCGGUUGCAUUUUAUUAGGCUUGUAUUUCUUUUUAGGUAGUCCCAUUUGGCAUGAAUUGUUUUCUUUUUUUACUUUAUACUACAUUAAAUAUGAAUUCACACAUCUUUACUAUCUUAAAUAACUAUGUUAAAAUAAAUAGAUCAAACCGGUUGAAAUCAAGUGAGUAAUAUAAUUAAUUUUGUACUAUUAUUUGUUCUAGACAAUAACAAAAAUAUAUAAAAACGCGAAAAAUAAAAUAUUUCAGAAUAAAAUAUGUAGAAUUAUUGGAAAUGAAUAUGAAAUUACUCUAUUAUAUUCUACGAUUGAGUGAACGGUUAUAGAUACUCUAAACUUGCAGGGAGAUGGAAGAUGUCUAUAGCCCAUAUAUUAGUUGUUUCUUUAUAAUAUAGUAAUACAAAAAGAAUAGAAAAAUUGGUCAAAUACAUUCCCCUUGCAGCUGAAGUGAAGUCCCAACUCAAGAGAAGAACUAACUAAUGAAUAAGACUCAACAAAAGAAGAAGAAUAAACUCAACGGGUCUGUAAAUCUAGUUGAGAACCAGGAAGCAGCUGAUCAGAUAUUACAGCUGACUUCCAGUCCACUGAAGUGGACCCCAAUAAGAUUAUCCGUAUCUAGGGCUGAGUAUUCGGACGGUUCGGGUUAAAGCCGAACUGUGCUGAAAAAAUCCGAACCCAAAUCGCCCUUAAAUAUCGAACCAAAUCAUUUCAUUUGUCAAACCGAACCAAAUCGAACCGCAAAUUUUUGGUUCGGUUUGACAUAAACCGUUUCAAUUAUUUUUUAAAAAAAUCAAAAACCUGUUUGCAAUUUGCUUGGUAGCCCAAAAAAUGGAUAAAUUCACAAAAAUGCGUACCUAAAAGAUUUAAUGUUCACCACAAAUAAAUCCACACAACUACAAGUUCACAAUAAAAUAAAAGGAAAAUUUAUAACAAUUCCACAAUCAAUAUAGCAUAAGAAUAACUCAAUAAGCAAAACAACAAGAAUCAUAGAUGCAUCUUCUUGUGCAUUAUCUUCAAUCUUCACCCCUCUACUUUCAUGAAGUUCAAAGUGUUCUCAACAACAUCACUUGUACCAACACUUUUCAUACCUACAAAAAUAAAACAAACAACAAAUUAGUGAGAAUGAAAUCAAGAAUUAAAGAAUAUCAAAAAAUAUUUAAAAUAUCUUAACCUUCUUCAAGUUUUUCAAUGCUUUUCAAAUCUUCUUCAACUGAGAUUUGUUGUCUUGAUCUUCUAGUCCAAUCUUGGGUGCAUACGAGACACUCCACAAUUUUAGGACUUAAAGAACUCCUAAACGGAUCAAGCACUCGAGUUCUGGAGCUAAAAGUGGAUUCCGAAGCAACCAUGAAAAUUGGCAUUGACAAUUCAUCUCGAGCAAGACGUGAAAGAAUAGGAUAUCUAUGUUCAUUUUUCUUCCACCAACUUAGGAUAUUAAAGCAAGCUUUUUAUUCCAUAGACACAUCAUUCUUGUCUUCAAGGUAUAUAUGUAACUCACUCUUGCUUGAUGAACCAUCAUUUUGCAUCUUUUGUUUUUUGAAUAUCUAUCACCCAUGUUCUCCACUUCACUGAAGGAAUCCAUCUUGAUAGUAGAAUAUUCAACAUUCUCAUAAAUUUUGCUUGAUGAUGUGUCUCAUCUAGAUUGCUAUAUCUCUUUGUAAGCAUCAAAUAGCUCAUUCGUGGCAUCCAUCACACCUUUGGCCAUCACCUUGCCAACUUCAUCCACAUACUCCUCAACAAUUGCAUAUUCAAUGACUCAAACUUAUAAUUUGGAUUUACAACAACGACCACAUACAUAAGUUUGUUCAUUUUCCUAGGAUCUCCUCAAUAUUUCUCAGCCUUUGCCAUCAUUUUGACACUCAUUGCCCUUACAUCUUGUUCAUCAAGGCGCAUCCACUUUUCAACAACAACUUCACUCUACUAAUCUCAUCAUAAAACUUGUUCGAGUAACAUACAAAGACCCUGAAAUCCUUAUAGUGAGAUGAUAGAAAGUGGAUAAAAGAUCAAUCAUUCUUUGAACAUUUUCCCAAUCAAAAUUGUUUGGCACACCAUUGGGAAGGUCAAGUCGAAAAUAUGGAUCUUCCAACUCAAAGCGUUCAAAAGCUUUAACAAACUUAUAUGCAACACUCAACAUCAAAUAAUUGGAAUUUCAUCUAGUGCACACAUCAAGACACAACAUACUUUUGCAUUCAAUAUUUUCAGCCUCACAACAUUCUUUAAAUCAUGCAAUUCUAGCAGGAGAUUGUUUAACAAAUUUAAUUACAUCUAUAACUUUGUUAAUUGAUGGAUUGACUUCUUUCAAACCAUCUUUCACAAUCAAAGCAAUAACAUGAGCAAUACAUCUCAUAUGCAAAUGUUUUCCUUUAACCAAUGUAACACCCCUAAAACUUAAUCUUCCUUUCAAAUAUUGAAUUAACGCAUGUAUCAUUUGAAGAUGCAUUAUCCACUGUGAUUACAAAAACUCUUGCAGUUCCCCAUUCACGAAGACAACCAUCUAAUUGUCUACCCAAAUCCUCACCUUUAUGACUUUCAAUAGUGCAAAAAUUGAUUAUCAUAUGAUAUUUCCACUCAUUAUUAACAAAGUGAGCGGUGAUGCACAUGUAAUUCAAAUGCUACAGAGAAGUCCAUGUAUCAGUGGUAAUAUACACACUUUGACUUGUUUUUUGAAAUACUCCAUUAGUUUCAACUUUUCAUCAAAAUAGAGUUGAUUGCAAUCCCUCGACAUAGUCCAAUGUGAUGGAAUUUUAAAUUUUGGUUGUAGAGCAGCAACAAAAUUAAUAAACCCUUCCCCCUCGACGUAUCUAAAUGGAAAUUCAUCUUUAAUUAUUAUUGCAGCCAAUUUCUUUCUACACAACUCUUGAUCAAACCUCCAAUCUGUGACUCUACCAGUCAUAUUCGAAUCCUCAACACAACCAUCCCCUUCAUGUAUUGUUUGCAAAGAUAAUUGUGAUUAUUUUAAGUUUAGACUAGUUGGAUGCUUCUUGCAAACACUAAGAUGAUUCCUAAGUGUAGAAGUGUCAUGCUUUUUAGACUCUGAAAUGUAAGGCUUACCACGAUAGUUGCACUUUGCUUUUUCUUUUAAGCCCUUCAUAGACAAUGGUAAAGUGAGGCCAUACAUUAGAACUUUGCUUCAUAGUCCCCUUGUUUGUGUUCGUUGUUGAUUCAUCAGCCGUCUCAACUUGAGGCUCUACAAGUACACUUGUUUGUGGUAGCUUUUCUUUAAAGCUUAAUUUCGCCAUCUACAAAAAUAUGCACAAAUUCAGUCACUACCUCAUAUUUCUCAAGAAUAUGCACAAAUUCAGCCACUGAGGUCGAGCAAAUCAGCAAAUAAUUUUUGAAACAACAAACUACCUUAUAUUUGUUACAUAUUCACAUCAGCAGAUAAUAUGCUGAGCAAACUAAUUUGCACAUCAGCAAUUAAUUUUCAAAACAGUAAACUACCUCAUUCGAAUUUAGCCUCGGCAAAUUAGCAAAUAAUAUGCACAAAAUCAGCCACUACCUCAUAUUUGUUAUGUAUCAAGAAAACUACCUAUUUUUUAAAACAAAUCAGCAAUUAAUUCCAGUAAAUCAAGCAAACAACCUCAUAUUUCUUACUUUGCAAUAAACAAAGAACAUUUUCGAAAUAGAGCUCCAAAAUUAAGGUAAGAGAACUUUAGAUUUAAACAAACAAGGAAGAGAACUAGAGAAGACUCACCGAUUCGUUUAGUGAGGGCAGGGGCUUGGGCGACGACGUCGCGGGUCUGCUAGGACCUCGGUGACGACAACUACAGACGACGAGCCUUGGGUAUCCUUCUGGGCGACGGCGAGAAGGGGCCUGGGCGAUGGCGUUGCAGCGAGGCUUAGCCUGGGGGACGACGAGGCUCGGCGCAGAAGGGGCGGCGCCGAUGUGGUGUUGCAGUUGGCUCUGAACCGCGUUAAACAUUUGUGUGCUUUACUUUACGCUUUACAUAUCGUAAUUAAUUUAUAUAUGUUAUAGUUAAGCAUACAUUUCAUAUGUAUGAACUUCAACUAACUUAGUGAGUUUGCUCUCAAGAUUUUAAAUCAAACCAAACUCAAGAUUUUAACUUAAACCACCACAUUCAGCAUAUACUCAUUUAUCAGUAUAGCUAACUAGUUGAAGAGCAAUUAGAAAGAUCAAUAAGCGAUCAACUAGUGUGAACAUACCUAUUUGGAAACUAAUCAGUCUACCUGUUAGCUCAUUGGAAUCAACCUCAGCUGACUCAUUAUCAGCUAAAUAUGUUCCUUAGACACAACUCUGAUCAAGCAAUGAAAAAGUUGUAAUUUGUGUAUCCCCUCAUACACCAAUACGUACUCGCUCCGGACCAACACAGAUGAAUGGACACGCCGUGUGGAUGAGCGACGACCGCAAAUGAACGGUGACAACGUGCGAACGGGGGCAAAAAUUUGCAGAGGUGAAGAUCGGAAAGAAAUAAUGGGUUUCACGCAAUAUGUUUAAGGCAAGAAAGAAAAUUUGUUUGAAACUAAAAGCUAAUAAUCAAAAAAUAAAAUAAAUAAAUUAGAGCCAAUACAUAACAGACAACAUAACAAAUCUGCGAACCGUUAUUAUAUGAUUAAUAAAUAUUCUCAUACAUAACUAUUGACCGCCAAUCGUUAUAAAUAUGAUUAAAACAUAACACUCAAAUAUAAUUGAAUACUUGUGACUAUUAUAGUUCUCAUUACCUAACACUGUAUAUGCAACAAAACUUUUAAAAUUGUUAUGUUUCCCAAAAAAUCGCUCAUAUCUAACGGUAUUAAUCUUUGUUGUGUAUGUAGUGUUAUGUAUGCGAGCUUUUCUAGUAGUGUAAAUUUAUCAUAGGAAAAUGAGAGAUAACAAAAAAUUGUCCCUUUAAAUUUCACUUCAAAGAGGGAUAAUAUUAUCACUAGGGCUGGCAAAUUGUGCGACUAUCCUUUGGAGUGAAAAGAAGAAAUGAGAAAUUGUAAAAUUUUAUUUUAAAAAAAAUAGAAAGCUAGAAUCCAACCGACCCAACCUGAUACACCUAAACCCGAACCCAACCCGAACCCGACACGAACCCGAUAACAACCCGAUUUGAAUCGGGUUGACACGACCCGAUAGCGACACGAUCUGAUUACGACCUGAUAACAACCCGAUUUGAAUCGGGUUGACACAACACGAUAGCGACACGAUCUGAUUACGACAUGAUAACAACACAAAUUUGAUUUGAUUCAUUCACAUGAAUAAUAAUAUAAAAAAAAAUUACAAAAUUCAUCACAUAUGCUCAACAAUCAACAUAUCCAAUAAAUCAACAAUUCAACAUAUGCCAAACUAAAAAUCCAAUCAAUAUAAAACAUUAAAGCCAAUAAGCUUAACAAAAUAUAAUAAGCUCAAAUGAAAAUAACAAUGCAUCAACCAAGAGUCGUCAAUCCCUAACAUAACUACAACAUAAUCCAAGUGAGCUUAACAAAUCAAAACAUAACUAGACUAAGUGACAGCCUUCAUGCAACAGCAAUAGUGGAGACCGAAGAAGAUUCGGUUUGAGGUUCAUCAUCGCCAUGUAGAAAGUCUUCGGCUAACUUAGAUGCUGGUACUUCGCUUUUGAGGCUUUGAACGAAAAAAAAUAUGAAUUAAUAUUAAAUAUAUAUCAAUAAUAUAAAAUGUUAACAUUAAUAACACAAAAAACUCAUACCUUUUUCUCCAAACAAUCAAUCUCUAGUGCAAAUAAUUGAUUGAAAUUUGAAAUGAAUGAAACCCUAAGGCCUAAACUAAGAAAUCGAAAAUUUAAAAAUUAAAAUAAAUAUUUAAUAAAAAUAAUAAUAUCACUAUCGGGUUACCUGAAUCCGACCCGAACCCAACCCAAUCCGACCCGAAAUUAUCAGGUCCUUAUCAGGUCGACCCGAUAAGGACCCGAACCUUAUCGUGCGUGUUACUAACCCAUUAAUUUCGUGCGGUUUCGUGUCGUGUUUUCGUGUCGUGUCAAAAAUUGCCAGCCCUAAUUAUCACACAAAAAACAGAGGGGGUACUAUUAUCCCUUUUUGGAGUGAAAAGAAGAAAUGAGAAAUUGUAAAAUUUUAUUUUAAAAAAAAUGAAAGAAAAGAAAGGUUGCAUUUGAAGGGAGAAAUUUUGUUAGCCCUCUUUUUUUCAUGAUAAAUUUAUCAAUUCACGAGAACACGCUUUUAACUUUAAUUGAUAGGCUAUAAAAAAGGGGACCUUAUGCUAAAAAAUUGAUAAGGCAUUCAAGUAAUAAAAGCAAUCAUAAUUCUCUCUUAUUUCUCUCUACAUUCAAUACUCUUCAAGCUCUUUCAAUUUUCUGAGCUUGAUUUCUCCGUUCUUUCAUAAUUCGUUGUUGAGAUUCAAACCCGACUCAAUACGUAUAUUCUGCAUACCAAAAUUAAAGUAUAUUGAAGGUAAAUGUAUGAGAUUUCUCCAGAGUCGAGCCAACCCUAGAUGUAUCACUUAAACAAUGCAAAAGGACAAUUUUAUUGUUUAUUAUGUUGAAUAAAUUUUUAAUGUAUUUAAUUUUAUAAUUUAAAAGGCUUGACUAAAUAAUAACACAAAGUUGGUCGAAGGUAUAAGUUUCAUUAUGGAUUUAGGCAUAAAACAAACUACCUUAUAUACAUUAUUUUAUUACACAUGUCAAUAACAUACACAACAUUGUUAUAUAUUUUUCAAACACUAUAUUUAUUUAUAAUAAUUAAUUUAAUUUUAUAAAUUAUAUCUAAUUCAAUUUCAAAAGAAUUUACAUUAUUGAUUGAAAAAGAACAUGGAAAAAAAAAUUAGACAUGAAAAAACAACAGGAAACAAGAAAAUAAAAGAAGAAAAUAAACUAAAAUACAAAAAAUAAGAGAAUAGGCAAAAUGAGUUUUACCCAAAAGGUAAGAAAGAUGGGAGACAAAUAUAAUUUUGAAAUUUCAAAUGAUUAUUGUUUUACCUAAAAAAACUGAUCACUGUUUAGGUUUCAAAUCUAUUAUUUAUAAUUUUUAUAUUAAAGUAAAAUUAUAUUAUAAUCUUUAAUUUAAGAUAUACCCCGGUUUGUAUUUUGUCAUAAAUAAAAUUUUAUGAAAUGAAAAAGAAUUGAAAUAAAUAAAGGAUUAAUUAUCUAGAAAUACAUGAACUAUGUCCAAAUUUUGGAUUUUAACUGAUGAGGAUAAAAAUAUGCAUUCCAGAAAUAUCGGAGGAAAAUAACGGAGAAAGAGAAAGAUUUUCGACGAACAGCACUGCCGAGCCCAAAACAGCGCUGCCUUCAACAGAACAAGCCUAGUUUUACAGAGUCAAUCUUAUCCUAAAGAGUUCAACGGCUUCAGUCAACCCGAGUCCGAAGUCAAGAUCACAACAAGGAUACGAGAUAAGCACGAAGAGUUAUAGUUCGAUUAUAAGUCAAAUAGGAGCCCAAUACAAAUUUCAACGUCGUAAUCAAUAUAAAGUUCAACGUUUCAACGCCUUUCUCGUGUUCUUGUUAUUUUCUAUUACAAGGUGAUAUUUUUGGGCACAACAUAAAUCAAAUCUAUUUUUUUGUUCAAAAAAUACAAAAAUUUUCUUCUUUUGAAAUUUGACUUGAUCCCAAAGUUUGCUAGCUGAUAACUUGAUUGUCGGAAUUCUAAUGGACAAUCCGAAUGUACCGUUAAAAAGCUCUUGAUGUUAUCUUUUUAAUGAUACUUAUAUUGUUGGAUUUUGGUCAGCGGAAUAAAUUGAAAAAUGUCAUGAAAUUCUAUAUUUUUCUUUUUUUUCAACCACUUCCAGUGACCAAAAUCCAACAAUAUGAGCAUCAUUAUAGAGCUAUCAUCAAAAGGUUCCCAACAAUACCUUCGAAUUAUUCAUCGGAUUCUAGACAACAAAGUUAUUGGUCGGCGAACUUUUGAAAUCAGGCCAAAUUUCAAAUAAUAAAAAACUUAUGUAUUUUUUGACCCAAAAAAAGAUCUAACUAAAAACUAAAUUUUAAAUAUCGUUUAUGUAUUUAAUGCAAUUUACCCAUAAACAAAAGAUAAUAUUCCCUUGGUCCAUGAUUUUUUUUUUCUUUUGGAUGUCUACAAAAAUAAUUAUUCUAUUUUUGAUAUACUUCACUAUUUAUAAUACUCUAUUUAUUUUUCACUUUUUUCUCCUAUUUUUAUUCUUUCAAUACUAAUUAACAUUUUUAUCAUUUUUAAUACACUCAAUAAUUUCAUUUUAAACUUCGUGUGGAAGUUUUCUCAUACAUGGAGUGAAUAUCUAAUGUAAAUUCAUAAAGAUAAUCAGUUAUAUUGUGACAAUUAAUCAGCUUAUUUAAGUAUCUAUUUCUGUUUUCUUUAUUUUUUUUUUUUUUUUUUUUUUUUUACUGACAUUGUCGUUUUUCGAAUAUCCAAUUAUCUGAAGAAGCGAACAUUUAUGAAUAUUUCCUGUGAAAGCGCAAAGUACAAUCAGCGAAGCGUCGUCGAUUUUUCUAGGGUUCAUCUUCAUUCAAGCAUACAAUGUCGACGCCGAAAAACACUAAGAAUUCCGACUCGGAAUCGGAGAUUGAGAACGUUCCAAGCCACGAAUCGAGUUUCGCGUCCGACUCUCUGGCUACCGCUAAUCCGUCGAGUCCUCCUAUUGUUUGCCUCUUUAAAUUCGCCGGUGACUCCGCCGGCGGUGCUUUAAUGGGCUCCAUUUUUGGCUACGGUAAUCAUCUGCUUAUCUUUUUUCCUUUUUGUUUGGCUGAAAAAUUGGAAUUUAGUCAUCAUGUGUAGACGGUUUCUGACCAUAAUUGAUGAUAAAUGUUGUCACUGCUUAUUGAGGCCUGAUUUGUGUGUUUCUUCUUCUUCUUUUCCUUGGCUCUCGUUUUGAUGUUAUCAACUGAGUUUUCUUUUCUUGUUUUGAUGUUAAUUUUACUCAGAAUGCAGUUCGUGCUUGUUUGUUAUAAAUGUGCUAUAAGAACUAAGUUGCCUUGUUCAUACAUAUAAGUUAGCACAAUCGCGGUUGUUGAGAGUGUUUUGCUGUUUUGACUGCAUUGUCAUUGCGCUUAAUUUACUGCCCGAAAGCAAUUUUAUUAGGCAGACGCUAGUUUGUGGUUAAUCAAAUAUCCCUUAGAGCACACAGUAGCAGUCAGUUUGUUCCCUUAGUAUUGUGGCGCAUGAGUUUGAUUCUCUUAUUCUGUUUAUGACAUCUCAUCAAAAGUAACAGUUAGGAUUCAGGUGCUUUAAGCAUCGGAAGGAUUGUUUCUGAAUCUUCAUAGUUCGUACUUUUAAUUGUUGGGCUGGGCUGACAAUAUCAUUAUGAUUCAUUUGUGACAUUUUAUUCUAAGAAGCAGCUAGGAUGGUUAAUUAGAGCUUUUAGCACAAAUGAUAUUUAUAAUCAUGUUUGAGCCGUCUCAACUGUGCAAGUUCUGUUUCUUGUGUUCAAUGCACUUCUUUACUUACAGUGACUUAGAUUCAUUGGACUUAUAAGCGAACAUGAUUUUCAACAUUCAAUAUACAAAUGGCUUUUGUGGGUUCAAUCCAUCUGAGUUGUGUAGUAUUUAACUGAUUUCAAUUUCUGCUGGCCUUUCAUUGUCUUCUUGUUAUGUGAUUAUCUUAUCUAUGUACAUCUAGAAUGUGAAUCCCUUACAAACUUGUCUUCAUGUUUUAGGGUCCGGAUUAAUUAAGAAGAAGGGGUUUAAGGGAUCAUUUCCAGAAGCUGGAUCUUCUGCCAAGGUGUGGCUCUCUUCAUUUGAUUAUUCUUUGACAUCACACAUGAAGCUGGACUUCCUAAUUUUUUUGUUGUAGACAUUUGCAGUUCUAUCUGGAGUACACAGUUUAGUUGUCUGUUUUUUAAAGAGAUUGCGGGGAAAAGAUGAUGGUAAGUCCUCUCACUGAGUAGAGAUGUGGCCAGCCUGAACUGCUCAUUUUUAUUUUAACGUGAUCUUUCUCUACAGUCAUAAAUGCAGGGGUUGCUGGUUGUUGCACAGGCCUUGCGCUAAGCUUUCCAGGUAUUCUAACCUCCAUUGUUUUUCUCCUAUUUCACCAGGUUCAAUAGUUUAUAUUGCAUCAUGGCACCUCUGCUGCUCUGCAUAGUUGCCUUCACGUUUGUAACUGUCAAGAACACUUCAGAUGCAUUAGUGUGUGCUUAUAUACUGUUGGUUUGUGUAAGAAAAUUCCAAAAGUUUCUCCAGUCAUUUAUAUCAUUGAGUAAUUUCCAUCUGUAAAAGCAUACCACCUAUUCUCUUGCCUGUAAUUGUAUUUCUUCAACUCACCUGAUGCUUGUUGCUCUAGGUAAAUAUAUGUAUUUUGCACGUCUGAGCACAUUUUCUUAAUUUCUGUUGUUGAUCCAUGGUUUGUGCAAGUGGUUUCUUUGCCUGCGACCGUUUAGAACAGCGCAAAAGCUGUAUUUGUGAGAUGUUUGACUCAUUUUGCUGUUUAUUUCCGCAGGUGCACCACAAGCUCUACUUCAAAGCUGCCUCACAUUUGGAGCAUUCUCGUUCAUAAUCGAAGGUCUUAACAAGCAACAACCUGCACUUGCUCAGCCAUUUUCGAUGAGGGUCAACCGGCAGCAUAAUGGUGUACUUCCUCCAUUGGCGUUACCCCUGCCAAAUGAGUUGAAGGAGUCAUUUGCAUCAUUUUGCCGGUCUAUAAGAAAAUGAGACGGCAUGAUGAAUUUUGUAAAGUUGAAUCGCUGUCAUGAAAUUUGAACUAAACUGUUCUAUGUAGCAGAGCUGAAUUUAAGGCUUCCUUUUUAUGCUAUUACCACUACAAUGAUUUAGAUGCUUAGUGUGAAUAGGCAAAGUUAUAACAAGCAAAGCAACAUUAGAUGCCCAAAAUGCAAUUACUUUAUACUCCCUCCGUCCCAACUUAAAUGGUGCGUAUUUCUUUUUGAGUUGUUCCAACUAAAAUGGUGUGUUUCCUUUUAUAUAAAUAAUAAGGGAUAAUUAGAAGACUAGGGUCCGUUUGAUUUGCAGUUUAGGAUUGAUUAGGAUUAAAAUUAUCUUGAAAAAUUAGUGUGGAUUUAUACUAUUUCAUGGGUGUUUGAUAUCAUGGCUACUUAAUCCUAUAUUGUGUUUGAUAUCCAUAGGAUUAUGUUGAAUUAUAUUAUCUAAUACCAAAACUAUCCUCAUAUGUGUGUGUGUGUUGGCCAAGCGGUAAGGGAUUAAUGCCUAAGGCCAAAGGUCUUGGGUUCGAGUCCCCUGUGGCGCGGCUAUUUAAUUUCUUUAUCUAAUAUUGUAAAUUUAUACAAAAAAAAAAAAAACUAUCUCAUAUAAUUUUAAAAAUACCAUGUGUGUCCACCAUUACUUGGGCAUUUGCAUCGAUAUGCGUGAGGAAUGGUAGCAGAAUUUUUAUCCAACUUCGCAGUAUUAAAGUUAUCUAAGGGGGGAGGGGCGGAUUAUUAGUAUGGGUUAUUCCCACAAAAUAGCAUGGAGAAGUGGGAUUAAGUAGGAGUUGACCAUAUUAACUGCACAUGAUAUCAAACAUCACACUAAUCUGUAUUAAUUUAAUUUAUCCUACCUAUAAACCCUAUCAAACAGGCCCUAAUUAUAUUAACUAAACAAAGUCCUUCUCUNNNNNNNNNNNNNNNNNNNNNNNNNNNNNNNNNNNNNNNNNNNNNNNNNNNNNNNNNNNNNNNNNNNNNNNNNNNNNNNNNNNNNNNNNNNNNNNNNNNNNNNNNNNNNNNNNNNNNNNNNNNNNNNNNNNNNNNNNNNNNNNNNNNNNNNNNNNNNNNNNNNNNNNNNNNNNNNNNNNNNNNNNNNNNNNNNNNNNNNNNNNNNNNNNNNNNNNNNNNNNNNNNNNNNNNNNNNNNNNNNNNNNNNNNNNNNNNNNNNNNNNNNNNNNNNNNNNNNNNNNNNNNNNNNNNNNNNNNNNNNNNNNNNNNNNNNNNNNNNNNNNNNNNNNNNNNNNNNNNNNNNNNNNNNNNNNNNNNNNNNNNNNNNNNNNNNNNNNNNNNNNNNNNNNNNNNNNNNNNNNNNNNNNNNNNNNNNNNNNNNNNNNNNNNNNNNNNNNNNNNNNNNNNNNNNNNNNNNNNNNNNNNNNNNNNNNNNNNNNNNNNNNNNNNNNNNNNNNNNNNNNNNNNNNNNNNNNNNNNNNNNNNNNNNNNNNNNNNNNNNNNNNNNNNNNNNNNNNNNNNNNNNNNNNNNNNNNNNNNNNNNNNNNNNNNNNNNNNNNNNNNNNNNNNNNNNNNNNNNNNNNNNNNNNNNNNNNNNNNNNNNNNNNNNNNNNNNNNNNNNNNNNNNNNNNNNNNNNNNNNNNNNNNNNNNNNNNNNNNNNNNNNNNNNNNNNNNNNNNNNNNNNNNNNNNNNNNNNNNNNNNNNNNNNNNNNNNNNNNNNNNNNNNNNNNNNNNNNNNNNNNNNNNNNNNNNNNNNNNNNNNNNNNNNNNNNNNNNNNNNNNNNNNNNNNNNNNNNNNNNNNNNNNNNNNNNNNNNNNNNNNNNNNNNNNNNNNNNNNNNNNNNNNNNNNNNNNNNNNNNNNNNNNNNNNNNNNNNNNNNNNNNNNNNNNNNNNNNNNNNNNNNNNNNNNNNNUUAUCAAUCAUGAAAAAUAAACGCUCUUUACCGACAUGACCCUAUAAAAUGUAGUAACCACUUGACAAUGUUAUAAUACAGUCUUGUUCUUUAUUUCCAGCAUCAAUCAAAUGGCCAAUGAGAAUGAGGGCCUUAUUUAAACAAAAGCCCCAUCUCUCCAGUCUCCAUGCAAGAAAUGAGUAAAACAGAAAUAAUAUCCGAAACAUGACAAUGCCCCAAAAGAGAGAAACAAGGCAAAGGGAGAAUUUAGAGCGAAGCACCUAUAAAUGUAAAAAGUUGCAACUCUUAGCAUAGCUUACUGCUUAGAAGAACCCGAGAGCUACUUCCUCCAGACAGCGUAUCUGUUACCACUAGUUGCCAGAGUCCAUUCCUUUCCAGAAGGAGACCAUGAUCCAUCUCCAAUCUUCAUAGCUAUUUUAUCCCCGAUAUUUGCAGCGUAGAGAUUUGGCUGUGCUUCUAGGAUCUUAAUUGGUGACCGACUGUUUAUUCCUUCAUUUCUCCUAAUAUCAAUCUGCAAAGUUGUGCGAAUUUAAAAGAUGUCACAAAUUGCUAGACCUGUGGAAACAAAAUUUAGAUAGUGUACCAGCUUCACAAUCUGGUCGUGGUAUGAACUACCCCAGUCGUAGAAAUGGUCGUAGAAUACUGAAGGUAUCCCUGGAUGUGUGAGUAUGUACACAUAGCCCUGUGUAUUAUACCAUCUAUUAAAAUAUAACAACCUUUCCCCCAAAAAAUAAAUGAACUUGAUUUUUAAAUAUAAUACUUAUGAAGAAAUGCUGGUGCAAUUUCCAUGAUGCUAAAAAAGAAUGGUUUCCUAUAAUCUACUGAAUCUUCAAGAGCAUUAAUCAUGAAUUUCAAUGAAGUAGUUCUGUAAAGUAAUCAUGAUAGCAUGAUGUUUGCUAGCAGAUGUCAAAAGGAAAUAUAAACAGGCAUAAAUGAGCAAAAUUACUAGAUAUACGGAUCAAGAUGCAUCUAUGGAUAGUAGAUAAACUAAUUCAGAUAAAUGUAUGAAGAGUACCUCCAUAAUAUGAUUUGAUGGAAACGGCCAAUGCGCCUGCCAAAAAACAAUUGCCAAAGAGUAAUCAAACUUGACUGUUAUAAUGAAACUAUCUGCUUGAAUGAAGGUGUGCGUGUGUGUGUGUGUUGUUGCGAUGACUUUGGCAAGGUUGUGUCACUGUACAGUUUUGUUACAACUUAAUUGCGCCAUAUCAUUAAAGAAGGGAAAUUCGAGAGAAUCUUGUAGGUCAAUCUCUGGUUUUGGCCCAAAGAUUGGUGUAAAAUGAAAUAAUGGCAGCAAAGUUUUCAGGCAUCACGGGAUGUUUCUAGCAGAGCAUCUAGUAAAAGUUUUCUACGGCAUUCUCACACUCUCAUUGGUAAGAACAAUUAUUACCUGAGUUGAACCAGUGUCAUGGUUAUCUAGAAAUGUGACAGCCCUUGAAGGCCACCAUCCCAUGACACCUGGAGGCUUCCCUUGAGGAUCACGCAAGCGCCAGAGUUCUCCUUUAACAGCUUGCUAAAGCAAUACAACAGCACAUAAUUUAGAAAGAUGAGAAAAACUCUUAAGUGAUCAAUCCAGUGGUCAGUUACAGAGUGGAAACAGCUAAAAUCAUUAUUUAGCUGCUAAUUAGAAAGGAACGAGAUUCUUAAUGAAUUUUUAACAAUUAAAUAUAUUACCUGCAGAAUCCCCUUUGUUGUGAAGUCAAAUGCAGCUGAUAGUUGUCCUGUGCUAUCAAUCCAGUUAAUAAUCCUUUGCCUGUGGCUAUCUGCAAAUGAAUUGAGGUGAAGAAAAUGAAAAGGCCUUCGAGAUCAACAAAUAAGUAAAAUCAUUUUCAGAAAUGCUCCUCACUCCUAGAAGCCCAGAAAUGUGCAAAGAAUUAUGAAAGAGCGGAGAAAAAAAAAAAGCUUUAGCAAGAAAGCUAAGAACUGACUAACUCCAACAGUCAAACUUAAAAUGCAGCACAACUUUCAAGAGAAAAAAGAGAAGGAAAUAGAGCUCUACAUCAGAAAAUUCACGAUAAGGUAAUGUACUAUAGAGAGCAUAACAAGUUGCUAAAGCAUUUAUGAAGAAAUCUUAUACCUUGAUUAUACUCCAAGUAUGUGCCUUUGUAGUUGCAAGAAUCCCAAUAUUCCCCAACAGAAAAGAUUGGCUUUGCACCCUCAAUAUAUUCUUUCACGUAUUUUGGAGAAUAACUAGACAGUAAAGAAAUAGUUGAACUGAUAAGGACNAUAACAAGUUGCUAAAGCAUUUAUGAAGAAAUCUUAUACCUUGAUUAUACUCCAAGUAUGUGCCUUUGUAGUUGCAAGAAUCCCAAUAUUCCCCAACAGAAAAGAUUGGCUUUGCACCCUCAAUAUAUUCUUUCACGUAUUUUGGAGAAUAACUAGACAGUAAAAGAAAUAGUUGAACUGAUAAGGACUCGCAUAUAAAAUACAUAUGGUCUGAAAUUCUUAAAAACCUGAAUGUAUUGCAUACCCUCUAGAAAAAUCAAAGCGAAAAUCCUGGAACCCAACAGUAUUCCUUAACCAUCGAAGCCAGUCCUUAAUGUCUUUCCUUACAAAGUCUUGUGUAUGAUCAAUAUUUGGGACCCCGUGAAAAUUGUCCCCGGUACUUUUGUUUCCCUAAUGGUUAAUCAACACAGAGGAAUGUAAGUAUGUUACUGAAUUAUCAAUCAUAAACAUGAAAUAGCAUAAACAUCAUCAUAAAUUUCUGUCACAUUAAGGGAUAGUUUUCCAGAUAGAUGAAAUUUUGGCAUUUCAUACUAUGAUAUUAAUGAAUGAUGCCUUGCCUACUUAGCAAACUAAGUGAUCAAGUGCCAUAGCUAAUUAGCUCUUCUCCAGUUGUCUAGAGGAACCUGCAUAUCCUAAUCCAGUAUUCCCCACACCCACAGACCAACAUUUCUCCAAUAAUUGGACAAGGCACUAAACAUUGAUAUAAGUUGUUGUGAAACUUAGGUAGCAUAUGCAAAAAUCAACCUUAAGAGUAUAACUAGUAGAUCUUGUUAGUUAAGCAUUGUCAUCACCUUUCCUCCAGUGCAGCCAGUAACAGCACGUUCAUCCCAUGAUAAUGGGAUUCCAUCAUAGCGGUUGUACAUUCCACCAUGCCCUUGUGUGGUACCAACUCGAUGAUUUAUAACUAUAUCAGCCAUUGCUCUAACUUUGUAUGUUUUCAUCUUGUUCAGUAAAGCUUUGAGCAGGUUCUCAGACCCAUAUGAAGAGUUAAGGGAAUAAAGGUUCUGGGGAAGAUAACCUGCCGGUCAAGAGAUCAAAUUUGGCAUAAUGAAUAAGACAACUUAGUCAAACAGCAUAAAACUGAAGCAUCGAUUUCUAUAUCAACCUUCUGGUGCAAAUGAAUGAGUUGGUGGGGGCAACCAAGCUGAUGUAAAACCAGAUUUUGCUAUAUCAGGAAUCUUUUGCUCUAAGUUCCUCCACCAAUCAUGUUUAUGAGACUCCCAAUUGAAGGCCUGCAAAGAAAAUAAUCACCAUAUAGAUAUCUGAUUAAAUACACUAGUGUUUAACUAAGCUUAUUUGAAAGACCUUAUAAGCUCUAACAAUAUUUUUUACUACCUAUAAGCUAUUAAGCAAUGAUCUUUUCUUAAAAGAAACUGUGGAUUCCCUAGCUUAACAUCUCAUUAUCAAAGGGCAAAAAAGUCAUUUCUUUAAUAAUAAAUGGUUAUGUAACACAUUCAAGGAGCCGAACACACACUUCCUCUGGCCACAAAGCAACAAUCCUCUUUGAUAAGCCCAUGUUCGAACCAAAAUACAAAAUAAGAAAGACCAUUUAUCUACUAAACAUUGAUAAUUAUCAAUCGAUAUAAUAUUUAAAUUCAGAACUGUUAUUUUGUUCGUAUUUUUUUAAUUUUCACUGCUGCAGUCAGGAAANNNNNNNNNNNNNNNNNNNNNNNNNNNNNNNNNNNNNNNNNNNNNNNNNNNNNNNNNNNNNNNNNNNNNNNNNNNNNNNNNNNNNNNNNNNNNNNNNNNNNNNNNNNNNNNNNNNNNNNNNNNNNNNNNNNNNNNNNNNNNNNNNNNNNNNNNNNNNNNNNNNNNNNNNNNNNNNNNNNNNNNNNNNNNNNNNNNNNNNNNNNNNNNNNNNNNNNNNNNNNNNNNNNNNNNNNNNNNNNNNNNNNNNNNNNNNNNNNNNNNNNNNNNNNNNNNNNNNNCUAUGUAUAAACUUCUUCUUUGUUGGUUGAAAAUUCAAGCAAAAUUAUGCUAGCUUUAUAUAUAUAUAUAUAUAGUAGUUAUCAAAUGUUUAAGAGGAAUCAUGCUAUAAGCAUACAAGUAACCAUGUUAUUAGUUACUAUAAGAAUAUCAUGUUAACACUGGGCAACUUAAAGUUAUGGGCAGAGUAAAAAUUGCAUAUACCGAAAACAUGGAAGCUUAGUAACAUCUAACUAAUGAUUUUGGUCCACUAGAUUUGUGUGUUUGAUUCAAAGGUUAGCAUCGAAAAGAUUGACUACAAACUUUUGGAAAAGCAUACCAGGAUCAUUUUGCCCAUUACUAUUGCCCGAUUCCUGCAGUCAGAGGGAGAUUAUAUGAGUGGAGCAAUCUUAUCUAGCUGCAUAUAUGUGAAUUUGAACACACAUCUAACAGAUUUGCACAUCCAAAAUAAUAAUCUCUGUACUUUUUGGCACUAAAGUGACAAAAGUGAACAAGAAAACAAUUAGAACAACUAAUACUAAUCGAACUAGGGAAAACCUACAUUGCCCAUGUUAUAUCACCAAGAAGUUGAAAGCCAGGCGGUGCUGAUCAAAAUGAAGCCCCUGCAUCCACCAAAAGUAAUACAGUCAGUACAAGUAUCAGAAGAAUAAUAAAUCAAGAGUAUGACAAUGAUUGAGUCAUAAGCACGGAAUUUGAUUAAGAAAACAUCUCCUGGAAAUGGGAUGGUUAUCCUGGGAUUUUAAAGCUGAGAAAUGAACUCAUCAGAAGCUGGAUUUGGGGCGAAUCAGUCAAAUAUAAUUAUCGUAUGACUGUGUAUAAACAACACAUCAUCUAUUAAGCAACUGUAUAACUAAUUGCCGAUAAGUUUUAAAAGUUUCAUAAGGUAUGAGGCAGAUUAUGAGUUGUUCAUCGUACCAAAGCAGUUUGCCUAAAACCAAAAGUGGAAAACUCAAAACAAUAUGCAUGACAAGGGAGAGCCUAUCAUGCCACUACUCCGCAAUUUGCUGACAUGUAAAUCUAGAAUAGCAUAUAAUGCAGUAAUACAUGGCAAAUUAUAGUGCUGUAAACAGAUUGUGGACAAUCAAAAACCAUAAAUGUGAGAGAACGCACGGCGAAUCUGCAGCCUCUUGAACAAACCGAUGAAAGGAGUUGAUCUUCACCGCCUAUAUAUAGAUGGAGAAAAGAUAAAAGUAGAGGAAUUGGAAUCCUGGAACAAUUUCCAGCCAUGAAUGAAUAAAAAAAGGAAUCGCAAGAGUGGGAAUUCGGGGUGAAUAUGAGAAGGAACAAACUUGAUCAACUCAGAAUUGAACGUCUCCGAGCAAAGUGGAGCAGAGAAUCGGAGCUUUCAAAAAGGGGUUGGGCUUUUUUGAGAUUCGAUUCGACGUUGAUUUUCGGUAAAGAUGUUCAGAUUCGUGUGUUUUCAACGGUAAAUGGAAUGCGCGGGUGCACCGAGUGGUAUAGUCCGGCACGCACACGAUAUUCUCGAUCGUGUCAAGGGGAAUUGAAUGCCGUGAGCGGAACUAGCUGGCAGCCUAACUGCUUUCAAGUUUCAACCACCUUAAAUUCUGUGUGUACUUACAUUUGGCCUUUACUUACUAUCUCAGCUUAUUCUGCUUCUUUAUUUGCAUACCAACUAUUGCAUUGCAUUUGUUAAAACUAGAUCAAGCUGAAUAUAUAACCGCACAAACCAGUCACUCAUACAAUUGAUUAGCUUGCUAUUAGUCGGUAGAAUUAAUAACUCAACACUUAAUAUGAUCAAGCUUAUCUGAAACUUGAUCAGUCUGCUUAACUAACUGAUUAGAAAAGAUGUUGAGCAAGCAUUUGAUGUUUUACAAGCUCGUUUUGCUUUUAUCAAGCGCCUAUAUCUUAAUUACGGAAAACAUAAUAAUUAUUUGUGUCAUCAUGCAUAACAAUAUAACAUGAUAGUGAAAGAUGAAAGCACUUACUUUUACUAUCAUGAUUCGACAUAAUUUAUCGAAGAUCGAGUAAGACGGAAUAGGAUAGCAAGCCUAGCGAGCUAUAUGAGAAUUGAGAACUUGGUCCCAACUUUGCAAUAUAGAAGCUCACAGCGCUCUAUUACAUGACUUGAUCGAGCAUAUAUGAUAAAAAUUUGGCAAUCGUAAGUUCGUAACUAAAUGCUUAGUAUCGAUUGUUUAUUUUCAAUUUCGAGUUUGGAUUAUUGUAAUUUAGAUUUUUAGUUUGUUGUAAUUUGAAUUGUUAUUAGUUUGUUAUUCUUUCUCGUUUUUUCUAAUUUUUUUUACAAUAUUUAUAAUAUUACUAACAUUAUUAUGAUAAAAAAUAAUAAAAUAAUAAUUAUAUAUAAUAUUGUUGUUAGAUAGUUGGAGUGAUCAUUGAUAAACUAUCAAAAAAUAGAAGUUGUUGGAUUGAUAUGAAUAUUGAUAAUAUGAAAGUGAUAAAAAUUAAUUAAAUAUUACACAUAAUCUUCUGUAAGACCGAUUGCACCCCAUCAAAUGGGUUGGCCCGCGCCCGACCCAACCCACUUAGCUACCCCCGGGCCUGACCCGAUGUGAGAAAAUAUAAAAGAUUUUCAUUCUCAAACCCUAGCCACUCCCCUCUUCUCCUCAUUUUCUCUCUCCUCUCCCCACCGGAUCUCCUUCUUCUCCCUCGACCUUCGACGCGGCAACCUCACAAAAAUGACAGGAGGUCGCCAACGAUGUGGGGUCGCGGUGCCCAGCCUACCCAGCCAAGAUCUCUAUCCACUGCUGAGAUCGAGAGAAGCUACGCGCCGAGAUCGAGCGAUCCAGCAUCGGUGCUAGCCGAUCCGCCUCGUUGCCAAGCAGCAGCGGCUUCUCUAACAUUUCGUGCCUCGCUCCACGGUGGUUGUCCACCCACCGCUCCGACAAUAAUUGUUACUUUUAUUCAUGAUAAUUUGUACUUUUAGUUAUUUGAUCAAAUAAUUAUUAUUGUAAGAAAACGUAAUUAUUAAUAUGUAUAAAAAUAAUACUCCCUCCGCCCCAUUAGGCUUGUCCCAUUUCUUUUGGGCACGGUUAUUAAGAAGAGUAUAAUUAGUGUAGUAAAAAUGUGUAAAGUUGUGGGGCCAUAUUAUUUGUAGUGUAAAAUCAUUACAAAAUAUAGAAAUAUGACAAGAUCAAUGAGACAACUCAAAAAAUAAAAUAGGACAAGAAGCAUUAUUUUUACUCGUUAAAACUUGUACUUUUAUAUAGUUGGUCAAGUAAUAAUUGUCGUCAGAAAAAGUAAUUGUUGAUGUGAUGAAAAGUAAUGUUUCAAAAACAUUACAUUUCUUUAUAUCAAUAAUUACUUUUCAUUAUAAUAAUAAGUGUUAAGUACCAAAUUCUCUCUAUCGUUGGUGUCCCUAUCGCGUACAGGACCCUAUAGUAAGGGUUAGAGUUGCUUACUACCUCAACGUGGCAAAAUUGCACCAAAUUCCCCCCAGCCUUUAACGGAUGCUAACGCCGUUAGAAUAAAUAUUUUUUUAUUUUAUUUUUAAUUAAGAUGGGCUCCAACGCUCUCUCUCUCUCUCAUUGAGUGCCUCAGUUCAGUUUCCCGGCGAGGCCGCCGCCAUCUUCGGUGGAAUCUGUUGUCGUCGCCGUUACUGCUACCGCUUGGCCGUCUCGCCGUUGACCUCUUCCUAGCGAGGCCGCCGCCACGUCCUGCUCGACUACUUCGACGCUCCCAAGCUCCACAAAAUCUCCUAGGGUUCCGUCCUCUCCACUACCCUCUGCCAGACCACCGGCAACACCGCCAGCCAGCCUGGAUUCGUCAACAUCGCCGACGUCAAGGGCGACAAGGUUUCCUUCAGAUCCGGCAUCCCCAGCUCCCCGCUCGACUCCACCUUCACCAAAUCCGUCAAGCAAUUCCCCUACAACCUCUCAGUUAUCGAGGUCAACAAGGCCAUCGCCCCAUCCGCUGUCCUCACUGCGUCGGCUCCUUCUGCCAACCUCACCACGCCGCUCGAGAAGGGCAGCUGCAAGACCUUCGCCUCUCUCAUCGUCUCCAGCGGGGUGUUCAAGGCGGCGGACGCGCCAGAUCUGAGCAGGCAAACUCAAGGGUGAGAGAGAGAUAGAGAGAGAUGUGGCCCACCUUAAUUAAAAAAAAAUAUAUUUAUUCGAACGACGUUAGCGUCCGUUAAAAGGCAAGGGGAAUUUGGUGCAAUUUUGCCACGUUGAGGUAGUAAAUAGCUCUAACCCUGACUAUAAGGUUCUGUACGCGAUAUGGACGCUAACGAUAGGGGGAAUUCGGUACUUAACCAUACUAAUGAUUACUUUGUAUUAUGUAGAAAUAAAUAAUAUACAAAAAAGAAAUAAUCAAGUAAUAUUCAAUUAAUCAUUGUCGUAAAGAAAAGUAGCUAUUAAAAGUAAAUAUUCAUAUUAGGAUUCAAGAUUUAGUGUUUAGGGUUUAGUGUUCAGGGUUUAGGGUUUAGUUUUCAGGGUUUAGGGUAUAUAAAAUAUAAUACUUUAUAUUGAAUGAAGGUAAAUACUUAUAUUAACAUAAGUAUACAUUUGUGCAAAGAAAUGUAUAUUUUAUACUCCCUCCGUCCCAGCUGAAAUGUCCUGUUUUCAUUUUUUGGCAAUACACUCUCUCUCUGUACUUAAUAUUUAAAUAAUUUUCACCAACCCACUUUAUCUACUUUAUACACAUUUCUUAAUCUCCGUGCCGAAAAGAAACAAGACAUUUCAGCUGGGACGGAGGGAGUACUUAUUAAAAGUAAAUAUUCUUAUUUUGGGUUAGGGUUUAGUUUCAGGGUUUAGGGUUUAGGGUUUAGAAAAUAUAAUACUACUUUAUAUUGAAUGAAGGUAAAUACUUAUAUUAACUUAAAAAAAAAAAGGUAAAUGCUUAUAUUAACAUAAGUAUUCAUUUGUGCUAACAAAUGUAUAUCUUAUGCUAUUAAAAGUAAAUAUUCCUAUAGCGUUUAGGAUUUAGAAAAUAUAAUACUUUAUAUUUAUUUGGUCAAAUAAUCAUUGUCAUAAGAAAAAAUAAUUAUUGAUGUGAUGAAAAGUUCUUCAUGUCAAUAAUUUCUUUGAUAACGUAGAAAUAAAUAAAAUACAUAAAAAAGAAAGUAAUUAUUGUCGUAAGAAAAAAUAACUAUUAAUAUGAUGAAAAGUAAUGUUUUAAAAAUAUUACAUUUCUUCAUGUCAAUAAUUAUUUUUUAUUAUAAUAUUAAUUACUUUGAAAUAACAUAGAAAUAAAUAAAAUAUAGACAAAAUAAAAUAAAUAAACAUUGUAAAAAAAGCAGAAAAAAAUUGAAGCAAUAAAAAAAACUGAAAUAAAAACAUAAAUAAUACAGCAAAAAAAAAUGAAGAGAGAAAUUGGACUAAAGCAAUUAAAACAAUAAAUAAACAAAAAAAAACUGAAAUAAAAACAUAAAUGACACACAAAAAAAAAUGAAGACAAGAAUAGGCAUCUACUAAAGUUUCAACUUUCAAACCCAUAACCUCAGACUUUACGCGCAAGAGUGGCCCGUGCACCACAACAUUUGGACAUUUGGUUUACUUUCAAUUGUCAAAAUAGUGAUAUAGGUGUUCUAUUCGGGUCGAAUCAAGACGGAUCCGACCCGUCUGACCGUUAGACCAAUUACGCACAAGACUGACUCUUUAAAGAUGAUUGAAUGAUUGAGAUGAUAGCCGAUAAACAUAUAUAAAAAGAAAUAAACACGGAGCAUUUUUUUGGAGGAGAUAGUUUUUUUUUUGAAUAAAUAAUUUUAAAAAUUACGUGAAAGUGGAAUUGAAUAAUUUUCGAGAGCAAAAGUGAAAUUGAAAUAUUGAAUCAUUAAAAUACGCACACGCACGUCUUUCUAUUUGUUUAACGGGAUAUACAGUUUAUUGAGUAAUUUGACGCAAAUUCAAAUGGCAUAAUUACCAACCUUGCACCAAAUUGGUUACGUAGGUCCUAUAUACUUUUGUUUUAUAUUGUUUAAAACAAUAAAUAUUUUUUAAUUUUUACCUUAAUUAUGAUUUACAUAUUGUAUAGUAUUUUUUUCGUUUAGAUUUGCAAACAUUAAAAAUAAUAGCAAACAUUAAAGAAGAUUCGUAUAAUUAUUAAAUCAAAUUAUAAAAUAAUUUAGAGAAUAUUCUUUGAAGUUAAGUUAGGCCAUUUUAGCAUCAGAAUAACACAAAAUGAAGCACACCACCACUGCAGUUGCCUUUCCAAAGAAAAAAAAGAUCCAAAUGGUAGUAACGAGAAUAAGUUUUAAAUAAAAUGGAGGAUAUCCUCCAAAAAAGGGUUCCCUUAAAUAAAUGGAUAAUAACGAGAACGAGUUUCUAAGAAAUGGAUAAUAAAGAGAAUGAGAAAUGGCAAUUUUUCCAUGUUUUUUUUUUAAAUAAAAAAAGUAGGGUAACUCAUCCAAUUAUUUUAUUUAUUGUCUACCUCGGAGUGAGAGUCCAAAUUUUGUAACGCCAUUUCCGACCGAAGAUUUGUUACCAUUCCAAAAUACUCGUUAUCCACUACAACUAUUAUAAAUGGAGAUCACACAAUUAACAACAACUAUCACUCUAUCCUCUAAAAUAUUUCUUCCGAUGGGUUUCUUCUCUUCAACGGCGCCCAAGUAUUACCUCAAUCGUGUUACUAGUAAAUAUCCAUUCAUGGUUAGGCAAACUCUCCCUUUUCUUUUAUUUGAAACUUCACCUUCCAAUAAAGGAACAUUUUGGUUUAAUUUUUAUGACUUGUUUGAUUAUGCAGACUUGUGUUGUAAGGGUGAACACUCAAUCUCAAUGGCAAAGGACUGUUGCAAGAGUGUUGGACAAAUGCCACGGUAUGUUUCUUUCUAUAUUUACCACAUUUUUGUUAUUUUACUCUAUAUAAAAAAUCAGUUGAGUAUAGGGAAUAUAGUGAUUGGUGAAUGAGUGAAAGUGGGCAUAGAUCUCUUCUUUGUGAUCAUGUGUAGGAGUACACAGUUUCAGAAUGGAUGAUUAUGGCGUCAUCGAAAUAUCUGGCACCGUUGAUCCAAGUUUACUGCUGAAAAUGUUGGGGAGAGCAGGAAGAUCCGUGGAGCUGUGCUGGUUUCAGUUCGGAGAGUGUUCCAGCAACCUCUUCAUGCCAACGAACCCCGGGGAAGGAAGCACUUACUCUCGCGAUGGAAGGUACCUGCACGCCUCCAGCCUUUCUCAACCAAAGCUACCUUCAAUCAACAAUCAAAACUACGUUUUUGAUCAUGACAACUGCUACUAUAACAAGCAUGACUACAACCAUGGUCAUGGUUACCAUCACCAGCAAGGUUAUGAGCAUCAAUCUGGCCACAGUCAUGGCAGAAACCAGACUCAGAAUCGCGGUGGUGAAGACUUAGGCUGUUGCAGAGUAAUGUAGAUUGCUUGAUGCUACACUCAACCACACUCUUUUUUAAGUGAAGUUGAGUGUAGGAGCACUUUUUCAAAGCUCACUAGUUUUGAUUUUUUUNUUGGUCAUUAUCUAUGGAGCACUUUUUAAAGCUCCAUAGUUUCUGAUUCUUCCUUUUCUUCAUUUUGUAUGUUGGAAACAUUUCCAACUCUGGCAGUAUAUGAACUUGAUUACAUCUAUUGUUCACUCUUAGGUAAAUAUGUCUUGAUUCAUACUGGCGCAUUACUUCUCAAUUUGCAUAACGUGAUCAAAUAAAUGGAAUAGCAUCCAAGACAGACGAGAUGAUAUGGAAUUGAUGGCACACACUGUAACAUAAAGAUACUGAUUAUUUUUUUUUGAAGAAACAUAAAGAUACUGAUUAAGAUAAGUGGGAAAGUUUCCAACAGAAAAUUCUUACAUUUGUUGAAGUACUUGUGUUAAUGCACCAUCCCAUGCUACCUCCCGCAGAUAUAACUAAAACGGGCGUUGCCAUUGUUACUGCACAUCAAUCUUACUCGAAGAAGAAGAAGAUACAGAUUCACCAUCUUCUCCUAAGUGGGAGAUGCUCCUAUAUCCAUCAGUAUGAGAAAGUCCAUAAUAUUCUGCCAAAUAAACCAAAGCUUCUGAGUUGGUAUUGCAUACUUUCCACAAGGAUGCCACUUCACCUUUUGAGACAGUACCCCAGCCCUCACAAUCAUCUAUAAAGUCCAGCAGUUUUGAGUAGAAGGAAUCAUAGUUCAUAACAAGGAAGGGAACGGGAAGCACGGACCCAAUCCUUUGAAGUUGAAUCAGUGCCAAAAUCUCAAACGCCUCAUCCAGAGUGCCAAUUCCACCGGGCAGAGCAACAAAAGCCGUCUUUUCUGAGCUUACAGCUCUAACACCAGCAUCCACCAGGCCAUGCUUCCUCGCGGAAAAGAACCUGCAGGUGUUUUAAACUAUAAACCAGUUAAACAAGUAUGGAUCCAAGAGCAAUUUGCACGGAAAAAAACUAGUUCCCUUCCACCUGCACGUUAGAUAGCUAUCUAAUGGUAGGUAGGGAUGAACAACUGUAGCAGUCCAUUGUCCAGCUUCCUUGCCUAUCUUGAAUCCACCAACCGGCUUUCCUGCUUCAAGAGCGCCUUUAGUGACGGCAUCCAUUAGCCCCGGCCCAGCUCCCGACCACGUAGCACAAUCUAAGAGGUUGGCAAUCUACAAACAAAUUAGCAAGUUGAUCAAGCAACUCCUACACACCUAACCAUCAAAAUACGGAUAUUGAAAGGCGAUAAACUUACUCCUUUCGCCAACUGAAAUGAUCUCACAAAAUGCGGAUGCUCAGGUCCCAAUCUUGCUGAACCUAAGUACACUACUCCUCUGCCAAGCCUUCGUAUAAGCUCAUAGCAGUUCUCAAUUUCUCUCUUCACCUACUUUCCCAAAUUUCAAAUUUCAGAAAUAACCAUAAACAGAAGCAAAUAGCCACUCAAUCUAAGGAAAUAGGAAUAUUAUAAGCUGAGUGAUCAAGAAUUCGGCAUAUGAUCUCAAGCAAUACAGACACACUGCGUGAUUUUUUUUAAAACAAGAAAUAUAAAAAACAGUAACAUUGCAACGGAAACAAUGAACUAAGGUAAAGAGACAUCAGAAGAGAUGAAUUGAACCUCAGCAGGGCUGGUUCUCUCCUCAAAAUCAAUGCCCUCAAACUUGCAGCAAACAGGCCUUGGUGAUUGAGUUUGAGCUUUCCUAUAAAUCUCAGUGAUCUUCAAACUCGCCGUGCGCUUCCGAUUUCCGGCAACAGAGGGAAUUUUCGUAAAACGACAUCGCCGCGGAGGAUUCACGUUGAGCCACAAUGAACUCGAACUAGAUACUGAAAAACCCAUUUUUCAGAGAGUCGAUGAUUUUUCAGUUGGCAUCAAUGUAUUGUAAUGUAAUAGCAACAUCAGAAUCCAAAGUUUUGGGGAGAAAGAAAUGGAACAAGGUUCGUUUGGUCGAUUUGCUCAAGGUGCAGAUGCUUCGAUUCUUGCCCAGCACAAGGGUGAAGUAGACCGUGCGCAAGUUAGUCAGGGGUACGACGGUCAUUUCAUGCGUUAGCUUCUGGGGUCAAUAUGCUAUUUUAAGAUAGUACGGGGGUCCCUUCACCCAAACGACGUCGUCAAGGGAGGGAUAUAUUUAUAAUUUACUCCAGUUAGGGUUUUUGCUUCGAGUAUAAAUCCCCAGCCACCCGCUAUACUUGUUCUUCUAUUUGCUGGCCGCCUCUUCCGUCAUUGCUUAACGUCGGAACCCUAGAACCCCCAAUCGUCAAUCAUGGGUAAUGACAUCGCUUUUCUUUCACUUUGAGUACUACCUGUCGACGUAAUUCACCGGUGAUUUAUUUCGCGAGAAAAUGCUCUUCUUUCGCAGGUAUCUCACGGGAUUCAAUGCACAAGAGACGUGCAACUGGAGGAAAGAAGAAGGCAUGGAGGAAGAAGCGAAAGUAAGUUUCUUUUCGUUUCUUCUUAAUUCAGUUUUCUUACGUUUCUCGUUCCGGUAAUUGAUGCAUUAUUCUGAUUUAAAAUCCUUGUUUUCUGAAUAACUUGGAAUUAAUUUAGUCGCUACAAGUUUGUAUUGAAUUAUUAUUUAGGAUAGCAGUAUUAUUUGAUACAAGAGAUCACUGUUACAGAUAUCCUUGCAUUUUGAAGAAAAAUAUUUUUACCAGAUUGUGUAGGUUUUGUUGUUUCUUAUCCUAUUUUGAAUUAUAUAUUUAUAAUUGUGGUUAUUUGGCUGGCAUCUGUUCUCCCAUGCUCGUGCUGUGUAAUUCCAAAUAAUUUACAAGUCAGUCUAUAUAUAAACCAUGUGUCCAGCUAGAUCUAUGGAGCUAUGGUUCUGCUACUGCUGUUUCAUUAAUUUUCACUAUUGUGUGUGACUAGGUAUGAGCUCGGAAGACAACCGGCUAACACAAAGUUGUCGAGCAACAAGACAGUGCGCAGGGUGAGAGUUCGAGGAGGUAAUGUGAAGUGGCGUGCCUUGAGGUUGGAUACAGGAAACUAUUCUUGGGGUAGUGAAGCUGUAACCAGAAAGACCCGUAUUUUGGAUGUGGUUUACAAUGCAUCAAACAAUGAACUGGUUAGAACACAGACUUUGGUGAAAGGUGCCAUUGUUCAAGUUGAUGCUGCACCAUUCAAGCAGUGGUACCUGCAGCACUAUGGAGUUGAAAUUGGCCGCAAGAAGAAGGCUGCUGCCAAGAAGGAAGGAGAGGUAUGCAUAUGUUCAUUUCUUUUUAUUUGAAUAUGUACAUUUUAUGAUAUAUAUUACUUCGCAUAAUUUUUUAUAUUUAUUAAUGGUUUGGUUAAUGUAUUUUGGAAAUUGUAAUUAGCAGUUUAAUCUAUCUACCUUUUUCUUGGUUUAGGAGACAACUGAGGCUGCUACUGAAGAAGUAAAGAAGAGCAACCAUGUUCAGAGAAAACUAGAAAAGCGUCAGCAGGAUAGAAAGAUCGACACACAUAUUGAAGAACAAUUUGGUGGUGGUCGUCUGUUGGCAGCCAUUUCCUCUCGUCCUGGCCAGUGCGGCCGCUGCGAUGGGUAUGUGUAUUCCACCUAAAGUUCUUUACUAUGUGAUACAUGAUAUUUGAUUACAACCUGCAUUCAUGCGGGAGCUUGUUCUGUGACUUUCUCUUGUGCAUGUUGUUUAUUAUGCGGGUGAUGGGUACGGUGAUUGAUUUCAUUAGCAUCUUUUGUAGUCCGAAGUUUAUUUUUGAAUUUCAAUGUUAUAUUAAAAGCAACUAGAUUUAAUUUUCUGGUGGGGUGGAUGUUAAGGGAUACUGAAAUAUGUGAUAUUCAUAUUAUCUGUCAAAAAUCUUUCAUUCUUGUUUUGAGCUAUGCACUUUUGUUGGCUGCUUCCAUUCUUAGACACUGAUUAGACGCUAUCUAAUGUUAAGCAUGGUGUUUAAGGUGUAGGUUUAAAUGUCUUAUAUUAUUUUUCUGGAAAUAGGUAUAUUUUGGAGGGCAAGGAAUUGGAGUUCUACAUGAAGAAACUUCAGAGGAAGAAAGGAAAGGGUGCCAGCGCUUAAAUUUUGCCUUGAGUUCAUUGAAAGAUGCAUUUUGGUGCAAACAUUUAAUUGUCUUUUCAUCGCCUUUCUAUGUAAUGUGCCGAACCAGAAGAGGUUUUUUAGAGUUGCUUUGAACUUGAAAUUGUUAUACACUGUUGAUUUCGUAAUAUUUAAGUUUUAGAUGGUUUUUUAGCUUGAUUUUUAUGUUGGUUGCUGAAUUAUCACUGUGUUUAGUUUUUUAUUUUUAUUUUUAUGAUUUGACUAUAAUUAGCAAAUAACCUUUUUGGUGACAGAAGUUGCAAAAUUUCAUUUCUGGGACGUUGCUCAUUUUUGCUAGUGAACUCCGUCGCCGCAUGCACAUUAUGUGGUAGUAUUUAGAAACGAUAGUUUGAUAAAUUUUUGGUUAAAUAUUGUUUUUCCAUUGUUUUCCAUCUUCAAAAAAUGCCCUAUUCGAACUAAUAUUGUUAUACAUCGUCUCCUAAAUGACAAAUUUUUUGCUAUCUAUCUAAAAUACCAUGUGCAUCAUUGGGGUAAUCCAUAAACUGAUGUGGCAGCCAAAGUUUGUAAAAGAAUUACAACUCUCCCUCGACUAAAAAUAGAUCUUAGCUCCGACAGUAGCAUCCUGAGUGCUAUUGACACCUCCAUACUCCCCUGAGAAAUCGCAGAUUGCAAGGCAAUUGCUAGCGCUGCCGUCUUCUUCAUGUUUAUCGUAGACCAAAAGAAAUGACUUAACCCUCAAACUCAGUUGAUAAUAUAGAUAUCAAUUUUUGAUCAAGUUCAUUAUCUUUUUAUACUUUAUUUUUUAACAUUAUCAAAUCCAAAACUGAAUAACAUAUCUGGUUAACAUCAAACAAGUUGAAUCAAGUUAGAUCCAUCAUUUGGAAAGUGGUGGCCUCGUGAUAAUAAUCUACAUAUUCAGAGUGAGAAUAUGAUACGGAGUUGAAUUUCCUUCUCCUUCCAACUCUUAGGUAUACACUAACCAUCACAAACAUCACUUACCACAAAACACUGCUAAAAACUUGUACUAGAUUAGUUAGAAACCAUGAGGCUUGAGCUAUUGAAAUCUUUAUCUAUAACCCAAGUAACAGUAUACAAUGCGUAUGUACAUUUCAAAAGUAUAUCACAGGGCAUGAUGUACCAUGACGAAAUUUUCUAGAUUUCUAAAGUAUUUACUUUACUACCUCUAUGCAGCAGUAACAAGCUGCACAGCCAUCCCUGUUGACAGAUAAGUAGCUCAAUGUAACAGAUUACGCUGCUAACCGAAAAGCAAAUGCACAUCCAUUCAUAGCUAAGUAUGAAAACUUUCUUGGAGGCAAUCACAAGACUGCUGUCAAAGAGAGUGCUUAUAUCCAUUAAGCAGCUUUAUAUAUACAUACAUAAACAUUAUACACGUAUAUUUCCUCUUUAAUGAUGCCCUCUGCACCGAUUAUAGGCUGUUUUCUGGCACGCAGCAGCACACUGUAACUCACUCAAUCCAGUAAAAGUCCGUUAAUAUAGCUGCUGAGUGAAGUACCAAUAUAUGAUCAUUUGGUGAAAUUUAUAGCAUCCGGUAACAAUAAAUAGUGCACUGUAUGACAUGCAACAAAAUAGGUUGCUUACAAUAAAAAGAUAUUUCAACUGUUGCAAGAUUCAGAAGCUCUAGUUAUAUAAUCCUUAAGAAACUAUCAUUAUCAAGCAAUAUUGAAAACCCAACUAUAUAACUUACUUAAGAUGCCUGUAUUGAUCUGUGACUUAUAUCAUCAGCCAAGAAGCAAACAUAACAUAACAAGUUAGCUUCCAUCUUGAUCCAUGGACUAGAACGUAUCAUUUCCCUUGUAUCUUUCUCAAUCUCGCUCUAAUAUAAUCAUUUCGAGCUUCGAUCCGAGCUUGUUGAGGAGCAACAUUGACAUGAGAAAGGUACAGACCGUAUCCAAACAACGAGCAACCAGCGAGGAAAAGCGCUGCUGUAGCUGCAAUCUUUUUAGGUGUAGCCUCAAAACACACCACCAUCUGAAAUUUUAUUCAUUCUAUUAGUAAAGGGAACUUAAUAACCAACACUGAAGCACUUUGCCACAUCAAUGCAAUAUACAGAGGGGAAAUGGGGAAGCUUUAAGCUACUCCAUUUGGCAUUAAAACAAUCAGCAAUAAAAGUGUCAUAACAAGCAAUGUUGUGAAAAUCGCUGGAGGCGGACGCCUCAAGGCAAGGCGACGCUGAAGCGUACCAAUAUGUGCGCCUCUGCAAGAUUUUUGUGUAUGCACGCCUCCUCGGCGAAAGGCAGGAGCGGGAGAUGCGGGCAUAUUUAAAUAAACGUGAUUUCGACAAAAUUUUCAAAAUUUCAGAAGUGAUUUCAGCAAUUUUACGCAUAAACAUGGAUUUCAGUAAUCAGACCAACAAAAUUCAUUCAAUAUCUUCACUAUGAAAAAGAAAUGUAAGCUGAAAUCAUCUUCCAUAAAUACCUUUUCUUGAAUGUGUCCCCAAACUCUGGAAUUGAAGAUCAGACGAGGGAGAAGGGAAUUAGGGCUCAAAGAAGGAUACAGAAUGAUGGGUGUCAGCUUUAGAAACAAAGAGCGAGAGAGUGCGGGAACUCGUUUAUUUUCAUAGACACGUGUUUGGUAUCUUGGGCUAGAUAUAACAGUAUUGAUUAAAUCCGGUUAGAUAAGCUAGUUAAAUAAAGAUUAAUUACUAUUGAUUGUGUGUUUGACUCAUAAGAUUAAUUAUUGGGUUUAAGCAGUUUUCCGAUUGUUAUCCAAUGUUAAAAAUUACUCCCUCCGUCCCACCCAAGAUGCAACAUUUUCCUUUUUGGGCCGUCCCAACCAAGAUGCUACAUUCUUUAUUUGGCAAAAACUAACACUAAUUAAAUAUUUUUUUAUUACAUUAUCUCUCCUACUUUAUCACUUUUUUAUUUUCUCUUUCUUACUUUAUCACUAAUUAAAUAUUUUCUUAUUACAUUCUCUCUCCUACUUUAUCACUUUAUUACCUCUUCUCUCCUACUUUAUCACUCCUUAAUAUAUAACUCCUUAAAUCUUGUGCCCAAAAACAAUGUUGCGUCUUAAGUGGGACGGAGGGAGUAGAUAACAAUGUCCUUACCCAUUAUGUCCCCAAAAUAAUUUUGUAAUGGCAGAAAUCAUCGUCAUUUUCAUUUGUGUCUUUGUGUGUGUGUGUGUGUGUGAGAGAGAGAGAGGAGAGAGAGGAAAUGCCAUUUGUUCGUAGGGUCAUCUUAUUUUGCUGAAAACCAGAAAAAGAUAAAAGCAAAGGAGAGGAAUUUUGGGGUGAAUGGCUGCUGGACAGCCGGAAAAGCGGAGAGGGAGACGGCUGGACGACGACGCCGAGCGCUGCCUGCGACACGGUGACCGACGGAGAAAGAGUGGGGGCGGCCGGCGCCAGAUCUGGAAAAGGGGAGGCGGCGGCUGCGUUAUGCUGCUGUCGACGAGGGGGCGGCGAUGGAGGCCGUUGCUGUUGACCGGAAGAGGAAUAUAUGUUGAAGGAGAGAGAGAACUCAAAGAAACGAUGGUGCGGCGUCGACUGUGCUGGCGUGACAGAGAACGCGACUGAGGGAUGAGAGAGGGCGAGAGAUGAGGGAGGAUCAGGAGAAAGAAAUGUUGAGGGAGAGAAGGAAAGGCGGCGUCUCCGGCGACGGCGACACCGUCGAGGCGGCGGCAGAAGCCGAGAAAGAGGGGAUGAUGAUUAAUUAUACCGAUUGAAAAAUGGGUAACAGAAUUUGGUUUGAAUUCUGUUCUAAAAAAUUGAGGGCAAUUAAGGCAAAGCAAAAUUUAAUAUGGGUCACUGUUCAAAAUGGGUAAAGGUAACGGAGGGGGGUGCCGGAUUCACAAACCAGAUGCUACAGUAUUUUUACCCCGGGCCGUGCCUCAUUUCCGGGCCAUCUGUGUAGUGGUUAGGGGAUACCAAACAGACGGAAUAACCCGUAUAAAAGCGCUAAUACUCCCUAAUCCAUGCAACCAAACACGUCCUUAGGGAGUAUUAUACAAUAAUUCAUCUUAAUUAAGGGGGGUGUAUUAGUUCAAGACUUUAAUAGAUUUUUGCAGACUUUUAAAAUUUGGGUGUAUUCGUUCAAAACUUUUAAAAGUCUAUGAAAAUCUAGGUGUAUUCGUUCAAGAUUUUUAAAAGUCUAUAAAAAUCUGGUGUAUUCGUUCAAAACUUUUAAAAGUCUACGGUGGGUGUAUUUAAAAAUCUAUGAAUUUUAACAUUGGACUGAUUUCCAUGAAUUUCACUCUAAAAAUACACAUGAACAAAUUCGAGUUCGGACCACGAGAAUUCAAAUCUUGAGAGUUUCCAGUGCUCGCUGGGUGCCAGCGGACGCGGCUGAAGAAGCCAGCGCCGGCUGGCACCUAGCGGCCGCUGAUGGAGAGAUACAAUGAUGGCUGGGCUGGGCCAGCGGCCGCUCGAGGCAUCCAACGAUCGCUGGGCCCAGCGAUUUCUUUUAUAAAUAGCAGCCUUCCGUCAGUUUAUUUCAUCACACGCCAGACUAAAAAAAUAACCCUAGUUUUUGUGUUCUGCAUUGGCUAUUCGAAAAAUAACCCUAGUUUUUGUGUUCUGCAUUGGCUAUUAGCAAGGUAUUCUUUCAUAAAUUUUGUAUCUUCAUCUUAUUUUCUUAUUCAGUUUUUCUAUUGCAUAAAUCUUGUAUCUUUAUAAAUUGUUAGCAUCGUAUUUAAAAUUUUCAUGUGAGUUGAUUUUAUUUUUUGUUGUUUUUCUUUAUUUUUUCUUUUAUUCAUUGUUAUAUACUAUAUACGUAUAUGUAUUUUGUGUCUAGUAAUAUUAUCAUGGGAGAUUCUCAACAACAAGAUACGAAAAAAAGGACAAUCUAUGAACCAUGGACUAAGGAACAAAGCGAUGUAUUGUUAGAAAUUUUGGUUGAGUCUGCGAAUCAGGGAUGUCGUGAUAAUAGUGGUAUCUUUAGCAAAGCAACUGUUGAAGAAAGGAUACUUCAUGUUCUUAAUGAAAGACUUCGGUGUAAUAAGACUUAUAACCACUACCUAAGCCGUAUCAAAUGGUUUAAGAACCGUUGGACUGCUUAUUCAACACUCAUGAAGUUUAACUCCGAGAAAAUAAGAUGAAGAUGCAAAAUUUGGGGCCUGCAGCGCUCGCGAGGUCUCCACGUUCGCUGGCUUUGUGGAUUUCAACUCCGAGAAAAUCACGACAAAUUCUUGCUAAUUCAUUAAACAUCCGACCAAGAAUUCAUUCAAAAUCAUGAAGAAUCCGUGAGAAUUCUAUAGACUUUUAAAAUCCACGGACUUUUAAAAUCUACAUAAGUCUUGAACUAAUACACAUUCGAGUUGCACAUUUGGCGUGAUUAUAAUUGUUCGCAUUAACCAAACCUCGUUAGAGCAUCACACUUGGGGAUGACCUGAUAGAAGGGAGAUCACUUUGGGUUAAAGAGGCCAAAGUGGGGUGACUUUCUUCCUCCAAGUUGAUACCCGCCAAAUCGGGAUGAUAAUCGCCUCCUUCGGAGAGGUCGGAAAUUCAAUUUAGAUGUACCAAUUUGGAUUGUAUGGAUCCAUUUUUUUUAUAGAAAAAUUGAGAGCGAAAAUAGAAGAAGGAGAAGAGUAUAUAAAAAAGAAAAUACAAACUCUGUGGAUUUUAAUUGGGUGAGAAUUGUGGAAUAUGAGAGGAUUUUAACAAAAAAUUGUUAUAUUUCUCUGAAAAUUCUUGAGAUGCGUUAGAAGAAACGUAGUGAUUGAAAUUAUAUGAAUGCAAAAUGAAGAAUAAAAAUCAUAUUAAUUGAGGGUACAGGCUAUAGAAAAUUUAAUUCGGGGCUAUAAGCUAUUGGAUAAAACAAUAACUUAUAAUUAUUUAUUAUUUUAGAUGAGAGGCUAUACUAAAUAAACGAGGACUAUAAAUAGAACUAGCCGGUUCAAAAUUGUGUACCCCUGCUAAAACACACAUAGCAGGAGAUACCUCUGUUUUAGAAAAGCUUUUUUUCUCUAUUAAAGAAUCAAAAUCUUAAUAUUUAAGCCGAUACUCCAGAAAAGCUCAUGCUAAACUGAAAAACACAUCAAAUACUGUGGAAGUAUGAGUAAGUAGCGGUUCAACUAACUACAAACGCAUUAUUGUCACUUUGUGCUAUGAACAGCUCCAACAGAUUGUUCAAGUUUAGACGAUGAUGGGUUUGAAUAAUUCUCCGGAGCAGCCCACAGGCGACGUCGCCACGAGUUCCCUGAUCUCCUUAACCACCUGAGCUUUGUCUGCGUCAAACAUCUCAUCCUCUGCACAACAAAUCCAUACUUAGCCUCAACACUGUAGUGUGUUGCAAUGUUACGUUAGACCACCAAUUUAGUAUACUACCUUUGUCACAGUUGAAGCCAUCAAAAAAGCGCAGAAGUUUGUUUCUGUUGGCACACAGUAUGUUGACGAUAUCAGUAGGCUUGUUCUGGUUCGCCACAAACAGCUGCAAACAUGGCCGAGUUAGCACAAGUACAACACAAAAUUGAUUAUAUAGUAUGACUAGUAUCGAGGGCAUGAAGUGAUCAAAACCUUGAACACAUGGAAUGCAUCAAUCUGUAUGCACUUGUGUGUUUCCUGAACACAAGACCACCACCAUUAGAUGUUGCAAUAUCAUCUAUGGUUAGCUUUCUAGUGGGAAAAGGAAUAUUACCCUCAGGAGAUUCAUGAGAACUCUCAUAUUGUCCUUGGAGCUGACAUAGCGCACCAUGACCGCAGAGUUAGAUCUAUCAAGCAAGAUGUCUCCUAGAAGCUGAAACCCAAAAGUUAUCAUUAGUCUCAAAUGUCUUACAGCAACAUCAACAUCAACAUCAGUAGCCAUUUAUCACUUUUAGUCCAAUGGAGCUAAGAAACCGAAAUUUAAGGUGUAGGGUUGAAAAUCUGAGUUGUUCAUAACAGAAAAGGGUGUGAUCUCAGACAAUCCAUACCUUGACAGCAUGGCGCCGGGUCAUGUAGUUUGGAGACUCCAGCAACUUUGAGUUGAAUUCAGAAAAAAACUGCAAAAAAGAUUAGGACAUGUGUAAGGUUUUAUAAUCUACUAAGGGGGCAUUUACUUUGCAUAAUUGAUAAGAUGCAUGAUUGGAUAUUUUGAUCUUCAAGACUAGGGUUUCUCCAAUAUCUAAGUAAUCGAAGGAUUAGUCUUUACUAUUUUUAUCUAUUAAGACCAAUACUCAAAAGUAAACUUCCCCUAAAGAGUCGCUAAAACUCCAGGGGAAUUUCACAAACAGAAGUAAGAACCUCAUUUCUACUUCAUAUUCAAAUGAAUAACAACAAGAGGAAAAAGAAAACCAUACCCAACUAUGAUUUUCUGUGAGAAAAUCUGCAACAGUGGACUUAUGCCGUGUCAUAAGCUCCUGGAAUAUAUAGCAGGAAAAGAUAUAGCUUCAGUCAUAUGAUAUUGUCAACAAUGAAGAGGGAAAAUGGCGAGUUUUUCUCUCAGAUAAGACAUAUACAUCACGUAUUGUCAAAAGCACAUCCAGACAUCAACAUGGUCAGUCAAAUAUUCAUCCCUGCACUAAAGUGUUUACAGACAUGGAGCAAUAUAACUGGUCAUUUAUAGAAAACUAUAAAUUUAAUUACAUCCUGGAUGGAACAUCAACAGAAAAACUGUAAACAUAGACCAUGUAGGUAGGUUAAAGGGUUGACAGGCAAAUAGUUCAUUUCCACAAGAGAUAUAAGACUACCAUGAAGAAAAUCCAAAACCACUUAGCUAGGCAUCACUAAAAUUUGAAGUUAUGAUAAAUUCGUAACAUUAGACAUAAUCAAGGAAACUACAACUAAAGAGACAGAAACAAAAAGCAUAAUGGACAACCUUAAAGGUAGCAGCAGCAUCCGAAGCAACAUCAAAAUUUGGAAGUUGUAUGUAGUCAAAAAACUUCUUCAUAUGGGCUGACUGCAAAACGUAACUGCCAGCAAAGAAAUAUCAAGGUUCAUGGAAUAUAUGAGAGAGUGGAAUCUAAAUGACAAAAAUAUGAUUCAGAAUUUGUAAAUUAUUAAAAGUACUUCAUGAAAGCUUUACACUGGCAAGAACUAAAAGAACAGAUUAUAAGUUUUUGCACAACUACAAGAUGUUAAGCAGUAAUAUCUAAAAUCUAGAAUUUACAUCCACAUGGCAGCUUCUUACCUAGCGACCACCUGAUGUCGUAUGCAGUCCCUUAACAUUCCUCCAUAAUGCAGAGCAACAGAAUGAUCUUCGUACCUGUCAAAAGUGUAAUGCAAAACCAUCAUUUCACAUAUACCAGAAAAAAAAGGGAUAUUCAAAUAAUAACCAUCAGCCACACGCUCAUCAGUGUCACCUGCAGAGAAGGUUAUGAAACUAUGAUAAUUCAGGAAGCAAUUAAUCGCAGUAAAGUUUCCGUAGAUUGAUAUAUUGCUAAUGCCUCCUGCUUCAGAAUGAAACACUUCUAGAAAGCUCUAGAUACCAUCAAUUUGACAAAAGCUACCAUAGAAGACAUUUGUAUCUAUCUUAUAUACCGAGGAUAACUCACCCAGUAAUCAUAACGUCCAAAAGAUCAAGAUUCUCUUCUAAGUAGUCAGAAGCAAUCAACCGUGAUUGAACCGGUUGCCUUUGCAAAUUCGCAAUUAUUCUCGUUGCAUCCUUGCGAGUCUUCACAAAGAAAAACAUGUCCUUACCAUUAUAAAACUCAAACCAAAAUAACCAAAAACAAAAGCAAACAAAAAACAAAGAAUUGUUCUCGUAAGAAGUAGGUCACCUCGAAGUUUAUUUUGGGGAGGCAGAGAAUUAGCAGUCGCAUAGUGUCAUCAGUAAAGAACUCUUGAGUCACUUGGGCACAAGCUUCUGCAACAGGUUCUGAUUCUUCAAUUCCGUACAGAAUUGAUUUGAGCUCCCUGAUGUCGGCAUCUAAUUGCGCCAACUGCAAUCAAAAGCUUCCAUAUUAAAAAUAAUAAUAAUAAAAAAAAUCGUUUUCAUGAGGAUUGCACUAGAAGCAUAUAUGAAGAUCAGAAAGCAAUGGCACGUUGUAAAUCCGAUCGGUGAAUCUCGCAGCAUCUAAAAACGUAAAACAGACGAGAAAAAGCAUGAAGCUAGAGAAAAUGAGGGCGGAAAUCGACCUUAUCAUGGCGCCUGGGACUGCCGUCGUCGGAAUCGGAAUCGACGUAGGACAGCAGUCUCCUAACAUCGCGUACGAUCUCAGCGGGAGCCCUUGGUUUUUUGGAUUUGAAGAGGUUCUUCAUGGAAUUGCUGCGCAAAACUUUGGGAACAAGCUUCUUCAAACUCAUGGCGGAAUUGCUCUUCUUCACAGCGUCCUCCUCCUUCAUGGCGAUCGGCAUCUCUUUCCCCAGAAACUGCAACGUGUCUCGGGGGAAUGAGAUCCCGCUGGAAUGGCGAAUUCCAAGUACCACUCGAGAGAUGGACGCCUUCUUCCGUCUCUCUUGUUUUGUUUUUCCCUCCCUUUUUUUCCGUUUGUGUGAGAUGGGAUAAUGAGGGUCAAGAGGCAAGGUAAUGUAGGAGACGGAUACAAGAGUUCGGUGGGAAUGAGGAUGGAAUUGUGAGGACGAGCGAUGCCAUAAACGUUGGAGAUCCCUUCCCUUCUUCGAGUAGAACUAGGAGAGACAGAGGGAGAGAGAGAGGAAUUCCAAAUUUGUAGGAGCGAAUGAGGUUUGGAUUCAUCGUGGACCUUUUUUGCACUUUUUACAGAAUAUUCAUAUGUAGCGUCGUCAAUUAAUUUGCAAUGUGGAAAAAAUGACGGCUACUGCUGAGACAUUUUCCUAUUUAAAGAAAGGGUUAAGGACACAAUACCAUAUUCUAAAUAUUUGAUUAGAUUGUCAUGCAUUUAGAUAAGAGUAAAUUAUGAAAAUUAUUUGGUUUUACCUACUCUUUCUGUCCUUGAAUCCAUGUUUUUUUUUCUCUUUCUACCCCUAAUUAAUGCUUGAAAAACUAAAAAUUAAGAUAAAUAAUUUGUCACAGGUAAAAUUAUAAGUUUUUUUUUUUUUACUUGGGGGAGUUGGGGAGGGGAAGCACUGGAGUUUGAACUCGGGACCUCACUAUUCACACACAAGAGGUCGCACCGCUUGGUGUCCGUUGGGACGAUAAAAUUAUAAGUUAUGCCUUAUUUUAUCAUAAAAUUAUAAAACAAUGCAUUUAUUAAGGGAUGAUUGUGUCUGUUUUUAUGUCUAGAUGGGGUCUUUUUAUUUGUUCUUGUUGGAAUCUUGUGCCUGAGAGGGUAUAGUCUAGAGAUGAGGGCUUUUUUGAGCGUAACAGAUGUAGUCAAUGGCAUAUAAAUGUUGUUGCAUUUUCAUCGAGAGAUGUAUGAUUCUCAAAUUGAAAAAUUUCGGGGCAUAAAGCAGUUGGAUUUGAAGGCCAAAAUCAAAAGUGAAGCUGCUCAAAAUGUUCAGUCCUUUGAUUCGGGGCAGAACCCAAUAACAUUGGACGAAAGAUCAGGGGCAGAAGCAAACACGACAGGUGGACGUGGUAUGACUAUCCUAUGGACUCUUAAUUCGGGGCAGAAGGUAAUAUUGCAAUCAUAAAAAAAAGCGGCCGAUAAGGUUAAACCUCUACCUUAUCCUUAAAGAUUUAAAUCUGUGAAAAUUAGACAUGAAGAUAUGGAUAAUUCGCAAGGGAAAUAACUCCUUCCUCUAGUUGACUCUUUUGAGCUGGGCUUUCACGAGCCCUGAUCGCACCUAGAAAUGCCGCAUGGUUGCAAGCCAAAGGCGGGCACAUUCAUAUACCAUUUCAGCUGCUUUUAAUUUGGAGUGAUACUCACCCAUGUUAGGCAUAAUUAUUUAGUUUUCAAUUCAUGUUUUGCACGAUACUUUUGACUGUACGUACUUCUAUUAUUUCGUAAGUUUUAAAUUUCAAUAUUUUGAGUAUGUUUUCCUAUAUGUCUCUUGCUAAUUUCAUUUCAUUUAUAUCUAGCUAAGUUUAAUAACCUGAUUUGGACAAAGAUGAUUUAAGUAUGAAUACUUAAAAACGCAUAAGGUUUAAUUGGGCUUAAUAACUACAUGAAUGUGUUCCCGAUACAUUAGGUUUGAUUCCAAAGGCUUGAAAACUUAAUUACUUAACUGAUCACUAAUUGGUUAAGUGGUUUUGGCCACAAGUAAACUUCGGGGACAAAGCAUAAAGAAUUAUAACAUUUGAAUAGUACAACUGAUGUUGGAGUUCUGGUUCGUAGCUUUAACCAUACGAGUAACUGAAUUAGGUCUUUCUAAAUCUUGAUGCUUUCUGGGCAAACUACUCGAGCGAGAGACCAACGUGGGAGGAGUGGCUGGGCAAAAUAGUUAAACCCUUUAACUGAGAAUUUAUAGGUUUAUACAUGAAAUAAUGAAAUACUGGGUUGAGGGCUCUAGCGUGCGUGACACAUAAUAAUAUGGGCAUUAUCGCUUUUUACCUAUAACUAAUUGAUAUAUGCAUGUAGUGAAAAUGAUCGCACCUAUGACGGUCGUUUGCUUCAAGGAGUAUGAACAUAUUUUAAUAAAAAUUGGUAAAAGGUAAUUUGAUAAUGGAGUCAUGGUGCAAAAAUAAUGUUUAAAUGAUUGUAAUUGUAAAGUUGAUGGUGGUGUAUGUAUAAAAAUAGAAAGUAAGAAGAUUGAGACAAUUUUUUUUUGGGGGGACAGAGGGAGUAUGAUUUUUUAUACUACCUCCAUCAAUAAAAAAAUGCUUUCUUCGCCCCAAUAAAAUCGACUCUUUUGUUUUAUACGCAAAGAUUAAGAAAGUGAUUGUAUGCUUUAGAUGAGAGUGACCUAAUAGGAUCUAAUGUUAUUAAAUGCUUUUUUAAUCCUAAUUAAUGAGAUAAAAUGUAGAAUACUUUUUCAUUUCACAUUGUCAUUCCCAAUACAUUUAAAUUUAUAAUACACAUGAAUUUAAUUUUUAAUUGCCACAAUGUUAAUAUUACCUGCAAAAACGCAGAAUCAGCAGCAACAAUCGAAAGUGUACAAAAUUUAAAGAUGCUACUCUCUCCGUCUCAUAUGACUAUAAGAGUGUGCAUAAUUGUUGGUGACACGAAUUUUAAUAAAUAUAAGGUGAAUGCGUUAUUAAUAAAAGAAGGGGCCAUUUAUUAGCAGAAGUGGUCCAAAAAAGAAAAAUGCACACUCUUGUGUGACGUUUCAAAAUAGCAAAAAGUAAUUACUUUUAUGGAAUAAUGAUGUAAAAUUUUCAUUAAAUGGGCUACACCCUAUAACAAGGUCUAAAGUGCACAACAAAUUAAAAAUUUGAACUAAGAUUUUGGAUUUCCCUCUAAAACUAACUAUAAAUAAGAUUACACCAUAUUCCCCACACACUACAAAUUAAAACAUUCAAAAUAAAAUAAAGAGUAAAAAUCUUUCAACAUCUGAGAGGAAUCAAAUUAUGCAAUUUCUAUACUUCAAAACUUGAAGAAUGGGAAGCCAAGGAAAGGAGUGAGUGAAGGAGGCAAUCACCAUAUUAAAAUCUUCAAAGAGGGUAGUGACUCGUCUGUGAGCUGUAGUUAAACAGAGACAAAAUGAUGAGCAAAUAUUCAUAUGCAGUGCUAAACCAAAAUGCACUGAGAAGAAAAAGAGUUCAUAUUAAUUUGGAAUUGAUUCAAAGCUUGUAUCUCUUCAUAAGAUAAUAAUUAGAGAAUAGUUUAUUUUUACCAUUUUAAUAUGUCCGCAAAAGUUUAUUUAUUUCUAUUUAUAGAUACUACUCCAUACCAUUAUUAUCGUCAAUAUAUCAACUUAUUUUAGUAUCUCCACAAAAAUUAAUUAUUCUUAACAUUGCCCUAAUUAAGGUGAGAUCUUUGUGUUCUAAUAAGAAAACAGAGUUUGUAUUGGAAUAAUUCUUUAAUUCAAUGUGUUGAUUUCGUCUAAGGGAUUGGUACUGCAUAACACUACAACAAAAGUCACCUAAUAGGACUCUCAUAAGUGUCCUAUUAUGCAAUAUAAUAGGACUUUUGCUAGUAUAGGACUUUCCCAAAGAGAGUCCUAUUUACUCUAGUCACAAUAUAUAUAAUAGGACACUCACUGUAAUAAAACACUCAUGAAAGUCCUAUUAUGGGAUACUUGAAAAACUCAUUUUUGUGACACUCAAGAGUGUCCUAAUAAGUGAGUGUCCUAAUAGAGUCCAUAUUUUGUUGUUCUAUAAUAUCUAGUUUUACCUGGGUUCAUAUUAGCUCCUACGAGUUGAUUCAUUACCAAAAAACAUGAUAACUACUAAUUUGACAAAAUUAAAAUAAACGAUAUUUCAUUACAUUCAAAUUUAAAAUAUUACAUCAUAGAUGCAAGUACGAAGUAACAUACAAGUACAUUUCACUCACUCACGAGAACACCGUAUUAGUUUUUUCACUCACCCACGAGAACACCAUAUUAGUUUUUAUGC